rnacentral:rRNA from 1 species
UACAGAGGUCCCGAGCGUUGUUCGGAUUCACUGGGCGUAAAGGGUGCGUAGGUGGUGAGGUAAGUCGGAUGUGAAAUCUCCGGGCUCAACCCGGAAACUGCAUUGGAAACUACCUUGCUUGAGGAUUUGAGGGGGGAUUGGAAUACUUGGUGUGAGCAGUGAAAUGACGUAGAUAUCAAGUGGAACACCAGUGGCGAAGGCGAAUCCCUGGAAAUACCUGACACUGAGGCACGAAAGCUAGGGAGCAAUCCGG